AAGUCGUAACAAGGUUUCCGUAGGUGAACCUGCGGAAGGAUCAUUAACACGUAUCUCACGUUUAUAAACCCAAUGUGAACUCGUAUAGUCGCUUGAUGUGACAGGGAGCAUUUGAUCUUCGGGAUCAAGAGUCGAACACAAAAUGGUAGAGAGAAGCUUUUGAGUUUCUCUGUUUGACUUUCUCUUUGACACGCUUAGUCGAGCGGCGCUUUUUGUUUUUUCCCUACCAUUUUAACCCCCUAAUAUUACUAACCCCUUUUACCUUUUAUUGGUACUAAACUUUACUAGCUAUUUGAUUCUUUUUUUUCUUUCACGAGAGGAAAAAAUUAAAUAACUAAUAUUACGAAAACAAAGAACAACUCUUAGCAACGGAUAUCUUGGUUCUC
rnacentral:misc_RNA from 1 species